GAGGUUCUGGGGCGGGCACCUAAGGGAAUGGGACCAGUAACUGUCACUCUGUGGCUGCCGGUCUCGCCCUCCAGGCUUCGCCCCCUCCUGGUCUCCGAGACGUUUUGGCGUUGGUUUUUCUGUGCCUAUCAGCGUGUUUUUGCCUGUUUGCUUGUUUGCUUAAAUAUAGGGCCUUAGCUCCCAGAGCAAGCCUCAGGAAUGCGCUUGUCAGACGGUGCCUCUCCUCGUAGAUCCUCCGGUCAGGACCUCCAGGGGACGCCACGAAUCCAUAGCAGCCUUCCCUGCCGGGUCGGGCCUACUCACCUCGACCGAGCUCGGGGGCCCAGCAAACAUGGUCUCCGAGUCCUCAUCUGGAAAAUGAGGAAGUCAGAAGACGUCGAUGGAACGAUGGAGGCAAAGCAUGCUAUAGCACAAGGUGAGAAGCUCCCCUGGCUAGGAUCACAGCUUGGCAACAGCUGCAGAGACAAGGAGCAGAUCUGCUCUCCAUGCUCUCCUCCCCAGCCUAAGUUUGCUGAUUGUUAUGGAUUGAAUUAUGUCACCCUGAAAAGAUAUAUUGGAGUUUUUACAACCAGGACCUUAUUGGGACAUAAGGUCCUUGCAGAUAUGAUUAAGAUGAAGUCACACUGGUGUAGGGUUGGCCUCUAAUGCAACGUGACUGGUGAAAUGACGUGCAGACCUGCAUAAAAAACCCCAGGAUUCUACAAGUCAAAGCGACUGGCACAGAUGCCCCGUUGGCCCUCAGAACUAAUCCUGCUGACACCUUAUUCUGAGCUUCUAGCCUCCAGAACUGGGAGACCUUCCAUUUCUGUUGAUUACGGCGCCCUCACCGUGCCGUUUGCGGUCCUUCAUUAUGGCAGCCCUACCAGACUAACCCACUAAAGGGAGGAAGGAGGCCGGCGGGAGAUCGCGGCGCAAGUCGGGAGGAUGGGCACCACCCGCGCGGGCUGGGAGCCAGCAGGAGAUGCAGCCCCUACGCGCCAACGCGACCCGACCCGGGAAGCCCACCGUUCACCCGCAGCUCCACCCUGGCUCGCAAUGAGGUGCAGGCGCAGGCCAGACCGGCAGUGGGGAGUGGGGGGAAGAAAGGGUCGAGAAUGAGGCUGACUCCUAGGAGCUGUAGCCUCACCUGUUCACUGAACCGAAACCUCAGUGAGGCCCAAGUUGCGCUUAUGUUCUUCUCAUAGGUUUCCGAAAGCGGUAACAAGCGUAGCAGCAGCAGGGGGAGCAGCCUGGAAGGCAAAGCCGAGGCCCUGGGCUUGCAAGCACUGCCUCCUCGGCUCCUGAGGCCUCUGUGGAGGGAGUGGGGCAGUGGGUCUGGACAUAAAGGCAUCUGUGGGCCCCCUCUUCUCAUUUCCCCAACUUCUUCAUAUGCUAGAAGUGGGGGAGGGGCUCUUGAGAAAAUUCUGCAUGCGAGUAUUAAAUGCAAGGCUGUCAGCUCCAGGCAGUUGCAAGGAGACACUCCCUUGCUGAUUCUAACAGCAACAUUUGCAGAAUUUGAACACAUAAGCCAAGUCCACUGGAAAUCUGCACCACAGGUGGCAGUUCCUGUCUUCUCAGCCAGCACUGAUAUUCCAAGAAACGCUUAGAGCUGUGCUUUUCAACUUGUGGCUAUCUUGAGGAAAUAAGGUCAGAAACUCUCCUUAAAGGUAUUUCAUGAUAUGUUUUGCAACACCUGUUAAGACCGUGAAGGAGGGAAUGUAACAGUAAUAAAUGAAUUUGUAGUAGAGGAAAAGGGGAACAAAAUCUUUGUUCAAAACUGAACACUAACAUUUACUGGAAAGUGAACUCAAACUGCCCCAGAAACUUUGUCCACUAAUGGGCAGAGGUGGAUGGGGUGGCAAUUUCUUCUUGUUCUCCAGAUUUUCUUAGUCUGAGGGUCAGAGUUAAAGCUGAAAGCUGAUUUUGUUCAACCCCAAGCAUCCUGUCACAGGAGACUGAGGAGGAACAGAAAAGAAAAACAAAAAGCUAGUGAAUCGGCGCAGGAAUGUCUGCCUGAACCCUUGCAAGCUGCUACUUCAUGUGUCUGCACUCCAGCCUCUCUCCUACCAUUUCCCCUCAAAAAGCCCUGACCACUUGUGUCAGGAGGACGGUGGUUCUCUAAGGCAGGAGCCUGCCACUCCCUCGUUUGCUAGCAAGUCAAUAAACUAUUCUUCCCUUUCCUCAAAACCUUGUCACUGUGUUUUGUGGUUUGACCUCAGGGACGAGGACCGGGUCUUGGUAUCAGGAGCAGCACCCCCCACCCCGACCAAGUGCCCGCAGGGCCGCUCCUUCAGUGUCAAGAGCCCACAGGGCCG